rnacentral:rRNA from 1 species
GAUGAACGCUGGCGGCGUGCCUAACACAUGCAAGUCGAACGGGGUUACACGAGUAGCAAUACUUGUGCAACCUAGUGGCGGACGGGUGAGUAACGCGUGAGCAACCUACCUUCCAGAGGGGGAUAACACAGGGAAACCUGUGCUAAUACCGCAUAAAGUACAGUGGGGGCAUCCCUGCAGUACCAAAGGAGCAAUCCGCUGGGAGAUGGGCUCGCGUCCGAUUAGGUAGUUGGUGGGGUAACGGCUCACCAAGCCGACGAUCGGUAACCGGACUGAGAGGUUGGCCGGCCACAUUGGGACUGAGACACGGCCCAGACUCCUACGGGAGGCAGCAGUGGGGAAUAUUGGGCAAUGGGCGGAAGCCUGACCCAGCGGCGCCGCGUGAGGGAAGACGGCCUCGGUUGUAACGUCAGUAUACGGACGAAGGAAGUAGACGGUACCGUAACGAGAAGACACGGCGUAACUACGUAGCCAGCAGCCGCCGGUAAAUAAGACGUACU